UCAGUUCCUCUUGCCUCAGAUCAGAUGUCCACAACAUAGACACCUCCCUGUGAGGUACCUCACUACUGCUAAUUAGUGAGCUACUAAUGCUCACAUGUGGAGAUUAAGGAUAGGAAGGAGCUGUUCAAAUGCAAAUAUCUGGUGAAAUGGGGGCUGUUACUCCCAGAGCGUGGAAGGACAUUCCUUUGUCCAACCACACCUGCACUGUCAGUAGAUACCCACAUCUGCGACAGCUGAAGCUGUCCCUGCUGUGCAUAAUGGGGGCAGCCUAUAAAGGGAUUUAGCCGAACAAAUGGAGUCGUGUGCCACAGGAGCAUGAUUAAGCUUAUUUCUUUCUCUUCUGCUUUAUCACCUGUAUUUUCUAGAUCUUCCUUGACUGCAGUGGCUGUUGUAUCAUGGACAUUCCCGCGUGUCCUCAGCUGUUAUCAGCAAGUUUGUCCCAGCUUUUGUGUCUUCUUGCAGGACUUUAUUGGAUACAGCUAGUGAUACAUGGAGAUAAAAUGAGGGAUUCCUUUGCAAACUGUAUCCUUAAGUGUCCAGAAGUGAAUGAGCCUACGACUCACAUGCAGUACACCAUGGAAAAGAUUCUCUCAUUUUGGUCACUUGAGCUAUUAAGGAUAGCAUCAUUAACUGUUGUGUGGUCUUGAUCAGGCUGCUUCCCAACUGCUUGAUCAAGGAGAGCAGGCAGAAGCCUUUUGUCAGCAAUCUGAGGUGUCUGCAGAUCAAUGAGCAGCUGCCUAUGGGAGCUGCAAUUGCCCUGGCAUUCUCUGGCCGAGCAGAACAACAGCCCACCGAGUUCAGAAAACUUCUUCACACAGCUGCUGGGGGGGAAACACAGGUGAUGCUCAGCUGGGUGUCACACUGGCCAACAGGGAGCUAGUCAGGGCUGUGAUAGUCAGGGCAGCUUUGGCUCCUUUCACCUGACAUGGACCUGAUACUCACAGAGGAGUGUGAAGUCUCCAGCUGAUAGAGUUUCCUUACAAGUAAAGGAGUAGACAGGGGUGGUGCGGGCCUACUGUUGUGUCAAUAAGCACAGCAGCAGAGAGGGCUGAUGUACCUCACGGCUUCUUUGCCUCUGUCUUCACCAGCAACGCUUCCCUGGCUUUCCUGCCUGAAGGCAGGAUUCCAGAGCACAACUACCAAAUGGUGGGAGAAUUCCUCGACAGCAGCCCUGCCAAGAAGCUCUUGGGCUUCCCUGGGAGACAAAAAGCUUCACCUGUGUCAGCAGUGUGUGCUGGUAGCCCAGAAAGCCAACAGUAUUGUGGUCCGCAACAAAAGAGCGGUGGGCAGCAGGGCAAGGGAGGCGAUCAUCCUUCUCUGCUCUGCCUUCAUGAGGCCCCAACUAAAGUACUGUGAAUCCUCUUGUGGUAUCCUGGCCCAUCUCGUGGCUUGGAAGAUCAUGGUGAUCUUAAUUCUGUCUCGUCAGCUGAUGGUAGGUCACAGGAACGCUGGCGGGUUGGCUAGUGGGUGGUUGCUGAGAUGAUGGAUCUCUGCUGAAUGAGGCAUCUGGAGGUGGGGGCUCUGGGGCCGGGCCGCUCCGCUCCAGGGCCGGGCCAGGUUUUCAUUUCUUUAUGUACUGCUGUGUUGUUGCAGCUGCCCUUCUGUAUUGUUGUUGCUUUUUUUGUUUGUGAAUAUUAAAACGUGUUAUCUCUGUGUUGGUUGUCAUCCUGCUCUCUUUUCUCUGUUUUGCAGGUCAGCUCGUGCUGGAAGUUGGUGGUGUCACUGUAUGAAUGAAGGUCAGUUCAGGAGCAGCUGCUGAUGGAAGGAAUGAAGUCCACGUUAAUGGGCUGAAGCAUCUCCUGAACAUGGAGGAGCAGAGCGUGAGUGGCUGAGAAAUGGAGUUGGGACUCAGGGGAGCCGUAGGUGCUGUGUCACAACCUUCCUGAGCGGCCCUUGCAAGCUCCUGCUCCCCUCGCCUGCAAGUGGAGAAAUGCUCAAGCUUGAGGAAUCUUUUCCUUGGCAGCUGGAAAAGAUGGCACAGCUGCAGGUUUUGUGUCCUUCAUUGUCAUUGGAAAGCAGCCUCCUUGAGAGCAGGAGAGCAGCAGGCUGCCUGCUGUGUGGCUGCUGAAGGGCAUUUCUCCCAGCUGAGAUCCCCGAGCCCACGCUGGCAGGGAAUGUGCUGUGCCACCAUCUCUUCUGUGGAGCCACUUUGCAGCUUCUCUGCGUUAGCUGCAGUCGUGCCAGUUUCCAGGUGCCAUAAGCCAGACUGGCACAGUCUUGGGACUCAGACUUGGGAGACGGUGAAGAAAGCCAAGGCAAGUGCUGCUCGGCUGCAGAAGAAAGCCCAGAAGGAGAGCAAAAAGAACCGAGAAGGGCUUGAGCGAGAAGGCCCACAGGACGCUCGAAUCAGCUGGAAUGCUUCCUCGGAGGUGGCACCAAAGGCAGCGGCCUGAGUCGCCUGGUUUUCUGGCAUGGCCGUGCUUUCCCUGUCACAGACAGUGCAGUGAAACUGAGGCACCUGGAAGGGAAGGGCUUGUGCUGCAUUCCAAGCAAAGAGGGCUUGCCAGAGGCAGGACUUCAUCUAUGGCAAGAGAUGGAGAGGCUGUGUUCCUUCAGCAUGUGUCUCUUCAGGGCCAGAGCCAGUCUAGUAUGAGAUUGAAAUACGGCUAGCUGGGCCUGGAGGGAGAGGAGGUGGCG